rnacentral:rRNA from 5 species
UAGUGGCAGACGGGUGAGUAAUGUAUAGGAAUCUACCUAGUAGUACGGAAUAAUUGUUGGAAACGGCAACUAAUACCGUAUACGCCCUACGGGGGAAAAAUUUAUUGCUAUUAGAUGAGCCUAUAUUAGAUUAGCUAGUUGGUGGGGUAAUAGCCUACCAAGGCAAUGAUCUAUAGCUGAUCUGAGAGGAUGAUCAGCCACACUGGAACUGAGAUACGGUCCAGACUCCUACGGGAGGCAGCAGUGGGGAAUAUUGGACAAUGGGCGAAAGCCUGAUCCAGCCAUGCCGCAUGAGUGAAGAAGGCCUUCGGGUUGUAAAGCUCUUUUAGUGAGGAAGAUAAUGACGGUACUCACAGAAGAAGUCCUGGCUAACUCCGUGCCAGCAGCCGCGGUAAUACGGAGAGGGCUAGCGUUAUUCGGAAUUAUUGGGCGUAAAGGGCGCGUAGGCGGAUUAGUAAGUUAAAAGUGAAAUCCCAAGGCUCAACCUUGGAAUUGCUUUUAAAACUGCUAAUCUAGAGAUUGAAAGAGGAUAGAGGAAUUCCUAGUGUAGAGGUGAAAUUCGUAAAUAUUAGGAGGAACACCAGUGGCGAAGGCGUCUAUCUGGUUCAAAUCUGACGCUGAGGCGCGAAGGCGUGGGGAGCAAACAGGAUUAGAUACCCUGGUAGUCCACGCUGUAAACGAUGAAUGUUAAAUAUGGGGAGUUUACUUUCUGUAUUACAGCUAACGCGUUAAACAUUCCGCCUGGGGACUACGGUCGCAAGAUUAAAACUCAAAGGAAUUGACGGGGACCCGCACAAGCGGUGGAGCAUGUGGUUUAAUUCGAUGCAACGCGAAAAACCUUACCACUCCUUG